rnacentral:miRNA from 1 species
CUUCAACUGUGUUUCUUAUAGUAUUUGUGUGUGUGUGUGUGUGUGUGUGUGUGUGCACACACACAUACACACACACACACACAUAUAUAUAUACACACACAUAUA